UUAUGGCUCAGUGGUAGAGCGCCUGCUUAGCAUGCAUGAGGCACUGGGUUCGAUCCCCAGCAUCACAU
rnacentral:tRNA from 1 species